AAUCAACGCUGGCGGCGUGCCUAACACAUGCAAGUCGAACGCGAAAGUCCCGCAAGGGAUGAGUAGAGUGGCAAACGGGUGAGUAACACGUGGGUGACCUGCCUUCGAGCGGGGGAUAACGUCCCGAAAGGGACGCUAAUACCGCAUGACAUCCUGCCUUUGAAGAGGUGGAGAUCAAAGCGUGGGGAUCGACAAGACCUAGCACUUGGAAGACGGGGCCCGCGUCUGAUUAGCUAGUUGGUGGGGUAACGGCUCACCAAGGCAACGAUCAGUAUCCGGCCUGAGAGGGCGGACGGACACA
rnacentral:rRNA from 1 species